rnacentral:rRNA from 1 species
UACGUAGGGUGCGAGCGUUAAUCGGAAUUACUGGGCGUAAAGCGUGCGUAGGCGGUUCUCCAAGUCCGCUGUGAAAGCCCCGGGCUUAACCUGGGAAUGGCAGUGGAAACUAUAGGACUGGAAUCUGGCAGAGGGGGGUGGAAUGCCACGUGUAGCAGUGAAAUGCGUAGAGAUGUGGCGGAACACCGAUGGCGAAGGCAGCCCCCUGGGCUGAGAUUGACGCUGAGGCACGAAAGCGUGGGGAGCAAACAGG